UUACUUGAUCUCUCCUCUGUAGCCGUCUGCAGUCUGGCUGCAUCCCUGCUGAGGCAGCGUAUCCAAGGAAUACAGUCAGGAGUAGGGGGUGUCCACAAUCAGGCCAGGGAGGAACAGAACGGCUGAGCUUGUUUGAGGCAAACUACAAGGCAGUGUUCCAGUUUGUAGCAGCUGACAUUUUGGAACCAGUGGCUCAGCAAAAUGGGGAAGCAGCAGAGAUGUAUCAAAGCCAGCAAAUCGUUUGAUCCCAAGACAAAUGCAUUUUAUCCCUCUCCCUUUCUCUAUCUCUGUUAUCUCUGUAGAAAGUCCUAAGUCCACUUUUUUAAAAACUGAC
rnacentral:lncRNA from 1 species